rnacentral:rRNA from 1 species
CAAUAGCGUAUAUUAAAGCUGUUGCGGUUAAAAAGCUCGUAGUUGGAUUUCUGUCAAGGACAACUGGUCCGCCCCUCGGGUGAGCACAUAGUUUGGUCUUGGCAUCUUGUUGGAAACUGUUGCUGCACUUGGUUGUGUGGCGCAGUGCCCAGCACUUUCACUUUGAGGAAAUUGGAGUGUUUCAAGCAGGCACAUGCCUUUGGACACAGUAGCAUGGAAUAAUUAGAUUGGGCUUUUGCUCCAACUUGUCGGUUUCUGGAGCUGAGGUGAGAAUUAAUGGGGAUUGUUGGGGGCAUCCGAAUUUAGCCGUCAGAGGUGAAAUUCUUGGAUCUGCUAAAGACGGACAACUGCGAAAGCGUUUGCCCAGGAUGUUUUCAUUGA